ACACACACACACACACACACACACACACACACACACACACACACACACACACACACACAGCACCUAACGCGCGUUCGCGCGCCCGCCCGCCUGCUACACAUACAUAACUUAUAAUAUCUUGUUAUGUCUAUGUUAGCACGCCCAAACCACGUUCCUGCUAGAUGUUCAGUUUCAUAUAUACUUAUGUGUAAACAUCUGUCCUGAAUAUUCCUCACUUGUUGUUGAGACAUGGCCUAGUGUAGCAUCUCUUAUACUUUCAUAUAAAAUGUUGUUUCAUGAAUUUUUACAUCUGACACAUAAUUAUGAAGCAUUAAUUACAUAUUUAAGUGAAAAAAAAGUUAUUCGAAACCGAAUAAAAUGUCCACGGUGCGCUACUAUUAUAGAGAUGAAUGUAGAAAAUUCACAACAUCUCAUUCUACAUUGCACAAAUACAUAUUACAAACAAUUACGUGGUAAAAAACGGAAACGACAAAUAUGUAAUUUUAAAAUUAGUGCCUUAACAGGAACGUGGUUUGCACGUGCUAACAUAGACAUAACAAAAAUAUGCCGUAAGUACUACAAUCUUGAACGACUAGCGGAAGGGGGAGGGUGCGCCCCCCGCUAGUUGUUCGAUAUUGCAGUUAUUAUUCGAUAAUGCUCGUUAACAUUCGGUACACAGUAUCGAAAAACUGAAAUAUAUUUUUCAAACUUCUUUCAUCAAUAACUUUUUAUAAAACAAUGAGCGUCGGCUAAAACCUUUUGAUUGUCACUCAAGACAGUGUGAUAAUAUAUAUCAAGGUCGAGGUCAUUACAGGGUGCUUAUAAUCGAUAAUUACCCAUUAAUUUAUUAUUUGUAAUAUCGGAAGUUCGGAAGAGACAAUUUGUGUCACGGUUAUCUUCGAGACGUGUUCGAGCGCCUGUCGUAGUCUUCCCACGUACGCUCGGAAACGGUGGCGGCGUGGACAGGUCCGUACGCGACGGAUGAUUAGUGUCGGUACGCGGCGGUCGGUCCCGGCGCGGACGGUCUCGCGGCGGGUUUAUGCGGUGGCGAUCGGGUAGGUGGGUUGCCCUGGAUGAAGGCGACGUCGGGUAAGGAGGCGCGCGAGAGAAUCCAGCGGGUGGAGGCUUAAAGCUGAGGGCAGAGACGGAGGCAGGGAAAUCAACAGCGCUUGACCGAAGCGGUCAGCGGGCUACCUCUUGUUCCCAAACGGGGUGCGUGUUCGACGGAAGGGAACCGCUAACCUCCCUCGAACGACUAGCGGAGUUGAGCGACGAAUACGGAUACCCCGGCGACUACCUGCUAAGAGGACUACCGUAGCUACUAAAGGCGACAGCCGGAAUCGCCGAGAUGAGUGGGCCGACUGGGAGGACUUCGAUCGCGCCUUUCGUAGACAGUACCUGUGUUCGAAAUUGAAGCGACCCGAUCCUGAGAUCUACAAUUAGAAGAUUCUCGAAUGCGAAAUCACGUGUCCGACGUGUGAACUCGGACAAAGUCGUCGCUGUCGCGAGAAUAACCGUACGCUCAGUUCUUGAUCUUUCCAGCAUGAUUUAAUCUAGUUUGAAAUUCACACAAACAAAUAAACAAGGAAGAAGACUAAACGGUUACGAUCGCGAGCGAUGAUUGCCUGUCCAAAAUUCUAUUGGUUCUAAGAACCGCAACGAUCUCGGGGGAAGGUAUCAGUGAAUCACAGCUAACCACGAGAAAUUGAAAAGAUAAGUGUCAUCGUCCUCUCGCAAGGACAAAGCGUCUAUAAAAGCAACAUCUCGGGGAGUCAAGUCAGUCCGGCUGUCGAGUUAUAGUUGAAUAAGCGAGCGAAUCUGCAAGUCGAGCAGAACUCAAGUGCCAUCGCAGCAAGUCGAGCUGCCUUAAAAUGAAACGCUAUCCUUCUUGAACCCUUUGUCAGAACCAGCGUUCACUCGGUCCUCGGUCUCUCUUUGACCGCCUCAAACUUGACUCCCUGAUCCCUUAGCUACAUCCGGUUGCGCCGCCGACGGACUAGGUCCGCCGAAUCAUUCUUUCAGUGUACAUCAGUUAUUUAUGAUUAAAAAUUUGUUAAGAUAAGCUCAA